AACGUAGGAGGCGAGCGUUAUCCGGAUUUACUGGGCGUAAAGCGUACGCAGGCGGCUUCGUUAGUCGGAUGUUAAAGCUCCUGGCUUAACUGGGAGAGGCCAUUCGAUACUGCGGGGCUUGAGGUUGGGAGAGGGGUAUGGAAUUCCCGGUGUAGUGGUGGAAUGCGUAGAUAUCAGGAAGAACACCCGUGGCUAAGGCGGCUCUCUAGUACGGUACUGACGCUGAGACGCGAAAGCGUGGGGAGCGAACAGG
rnacentral:rRNA from 1 species